GCCCCGAGGUGUUUUACACAUCAGGUUGCAAACCUGAAGUAGCAGUUUAGCCCCUGCCGGGGCUU
rnacentral:tRNA from 1 species